GUGCUCAUCAACACUCGACUGAUCAGGUUUGAUAUCAUUCGCCUUAUGAGAGACAUUGGCAUUUUAAAAGCUUGUGUCACGGCCGCCCAGACUUUACCUCGCAUAUCAACGUGGUGUUACUCAUUAUGAGUCAUGGUGUCAUGUGAGGUCCACAGGUGCCGGAUGAAUGCAGGAGGCAGAGGUGCUGGAGGUGCUGCUGGUGGAGGGUCCUGUGGAGAUCCAUGUAGUUUUGCCAGUUGCCACGAGGAGCCAUCUGUCAACUGCAGGGAUGCUCUUCUCGCGCUUGGACAGAGAGGAGGACUGCAUCAUGUCCGGUUUGAGUCAUCACCCCAGUUCUUUAUAGAAGAAUCAUCUCAAGACACCAGGCAGGAAUGCGUUGUGUCUGGAGUACUGAACACCUGUCCAAUUUGUGGUGAACUUCUGAAAGUCUUGACUCUUGCUUGACUGAGAUCCUCACAAAGUCAAGCACGUGCUCUUGUUUGUUUUGAUCAUGAUUACUAGCACGUGCCAGACUGAGUGUGCCUCCUGUCAACAUUUAAAAACUGUAAUAUUUUCAUAACUCUCAGACUAUGCUAUUCCUAUACUUGCCACCUUUUGCUAUCAAAAAUGAAUGUGCUGUAAUGGUGUCAGUGACACUGAUAGUCAUCCGUACUACAGAAAAUAAAUCAUACAGUUCACAG